AGAUGUGCCAACGUCAUUUCGUGGAAGCUCUGGGACGCGUGGGGCUCCCCCUGCCUUAGACGGGUUAAAUAGGUGAUAAUUGAUCGGGGAGUGGGGUGGAUUAAAAGAAAAAGAAAAAAGAAAGAAAAGAAAAGGAAAGAAAGAAGAAAGAAAGAAAGAAAGAAAGAAAGAAAGAAAGAAAGAAAGAAAGAAAAGCAGCAAUUGCUGGUUUUUCAGGAGCUGAAGUCAACAGUAUCAAGCAUGGCUCCUUUUGGCUUUUCCCAAAAUAAAAUUUUUGUGAGAUAGUGACCAGCCCUGAAGCAUUUAAUAUGGUUCCAUGAUGGACUGGACUCAAAUAUACAUUUUCUUAGGCUUCAUAAGUCUUUCAGGGUUUGCUCAUUAUAACGACAGUAAUCCUCAAUUUACAACCAUUUGUUAGCAACUAUUCAAAGUUACAACGGCACUGAAAAAGUGGCUUACAACCAGUCCUUACACUAAUGACCUUCGCAGCAUCCCCAUGGUUAGAUUAUCAAAAUUUGGGUACUUGGUAAUCACCAGGUGCAGUGUCCUGUGCGCAUGUGAUCUCCAUUUGCAAUCUUCCCACCUGGCCUCCAACAAAGUCAAUGGGAGAAGCCAGAUUCUGCACUUCCUGAGUAGUAACAAACAACAACCAUCAAAGCAGACUCAUGGAACUUGAAGAGCUGAAGAAACUUUCAUAGGUAUGCUCAUACACCAGCUAAAACAGUAGCUAAUAAGCAACAAUAGACCAAUAGAAGAAUUCAAAUUCAAAGAUCCAAGUUCUGACUACCACAACAUGGCUUCUAAGGUAGUUUUCCCAACCUGAACACAAUCUAAAUGUUAGACUUCAACUCCUACAAUUCUCAGCACAGGCAAUGUUGACUAUUCUGAAGGUUACAUGCUGAUUGUUGGAAGGUUGUAAUAAUACCUACAUAUCAAGGCUAGGUUUACCUAGCCAUUUUCCAAUGGGAUAUACAUCAUUGUUAGUUACAUUUUGCACAGGACAGCCUCUUACUAAACAUUUAGAAUUGGAAACAAUACAUUCAAAAUACAUUUGGAAUUCUACUACUAGCUAUUGCGCUGUUAUAGACAGAAACCGCAGAGAAAGAUCAGGAGGAGAAUCUGCUGAGUAACCAUUUUUCUCCCAUGAUCUUUUUAAAGGAUGUUAAACGUGUGUUUAAGUGGCUUGAAUGUUUUGCUUGAUAUUAUGACAAGCUUUUGAUAAAAGAGCCAGUCUGAAUAA